AGACAGCAAACGUGCAACUUUUAUUUUCCCAAAUGCAUCGCUGUUGCAAAGGAAAAUCAGGGCAGGAUGCAGGGUGAUGGAAGCACAGGCUGGUGCCCAAAUACACGCAGCCAUGGGCGGGGAGAUCACCGCCCAAGGGGUUGUGACUGACAUCAGCAAGAGAUGACUGUGAUCUCACUGACCCUCGUGUAUGAAUUUGGGUGUCGGCAGCAUCCCACCUGGACUCGUGCCUGGCCUCCAGUCGAGCAGACCUGCAAGACUAGGAGUACCAAUCGAGGACUUUCUCGUAUCGAGCUGUGGUGCUGCUGGCAUCAGUUCUUGGUGCCCCUCACCAGUGUUUCCCUGGCCCUGCCUUUCUCAAGCAGCCAGGGCCUCGUGGGGUGCGCAUGCAGCAGUGGAGUUAAGGAACUGAGGGGGGAGUGAGGCCAAGACUCUUAACACAAGG